rnacentral:lncRNA from 1 species
CCCUCUACAGUCACGAACACACCAUCCCGCACUCGUUUUCCUUGCGCCGUCAUGAAAACCAGCAUCAACAUUACAUUUGUAUUUGUCUCGGGCUGGGGCUUGCCACUAUUGUUGUUGCUGCUGUUGUAUGCCAUGACCGUCGUUAUUGUGCACAGUUUGGACUGAUUGCCACUCAUGCCAUAAACUCAUUGCUUUGAUUCCAAGUUGUUGUCCUUGUUCCUUCACU